GUUUGGGGGUUGGUGGAAGGCUGGUAAACCGUUUGGUUUUCGACCACUACGACCCGGGUUCGAUUCCCGCAUUGGACA
rnacentral:tRNA from 1 species